AAAGGACGAGAAGACCCUAUAGAUCUUUAUUUUUGUUAUUUAUAAAUUAAAAAGAAUUUUAAAAUUUAUAAUUUAAUAAAAAAUUUUAUUGGGGUGAUAUUAAAAUUUAAAAAACUUUUAAAAUUUAUUAACAUAAAUAUAUGAAUAAAUGAUCCAGUUUUAUUGAUUAAAAAUUUAAGUUACCUUAGGGAUAACAGCGUAAUUUUUUUUUAGAGUUCAUAUCGACAAAAAAGAUUGCGACCUCGAUGUUGGAUUAAGAGUUAUUUUUAGGUGUAGAAGUUUAAAGUUUAGGUCUGUUCGACCUUUGAAUUCUUACAUGAUCUGAGUUCAAACCGGCGUAAGCCAGGUUGGUUUCUAUCCUU
rnacentral:ncRNA from 1 species